GUCUUAGUCUAAAGAAGAACUCAGCAGGAGCACAGUCUGGCCUAAGUAAAUCCCCCCCAUGCAGCUUUGAUGUAUCUAAAAGCUAACUUUAGAGUUUGAGUAACUUAGGAAAGUUUUGCAUAGCCUCGGGGCUAAGCCCCCCCUGUCUUUCAAUCCUAGUGACGUC